CUGCCCCGUCCAGGGGGAUAAUCGGCGGAAACGCCGUCUAAUACCGCGUAUAUCGGUACCGGGCAUCCGGGAUUGAAGAAAGGGCCUUAGGGUCCGGGACGGGAUGGGCAUGCGGCGCAUUAGGAAGUUGGCGGUGUAACGGACCACCAAUCCGUCGAUGCGUAGGGGUUCUGAGAGGAAGGCCCCCCACACUGGUACUGAGACACGGACCAGACUCCUACGGGAGGCAGCAGUGAGGAAUAUUGGUCAAUGGGCGGGAGCCUGAACCAGCCAAGUCGCGUGAGGGAAGAAGGUACUGAGUAUUGUAAACCUCUUUUGCCAGGGGACAAAGGCGGCCACGGGUGGCCGUAAGAGGGUACCUGGAGAAAAAGCAUCGGCUAACUCCGUGCCAGCAGCCGCGGUAAUACGGAGGAUGCGAGCGUUAUCCGGAUUUAUUGGGUUUAAAGGGUGCGCAGGCGGCGUGUCAAGUCAGCGGUAAAAUGUCGGGGCUCAACCCCGGCCGGCCGUUGAAACUGGCGUGCUCGAGUUGGAGAGAAGUAUGCGGAAUUCGUGGUGUAGCGGUGAAAUGCAUAGAUAUCACGAAGAACCCCGAUUGCGAAGGCAGCAUACCGGCUCCACACUGACGCUGAGGCACGAAAGCGUGGGUAUCGAACAGGAUUAGAUACCCUGGUAGUCCACGCAGUAAACGAUGA
rnacentral:rRNA from 1 species